rnacentral:rRNA from 1 species
CCUACGGGUGGCAGCAGUGAGGAAUAUUGGUCAAUGGACGCAAGUCUGAACCAGCCAUGCCGCGUGCAGGAAGACGGCUCUAUGAGUUGUAAACUGCUUUUGUACGAGGGUAAACGCAGAUACGCGUAUCUGUCUGAAAGUAUCGUACGAAUAAGGAUCGACUAACUCCGUUCCAGCAGCCGCGGUAAUACGGAGGAUUCAAGCGUUAUCCGGAUUUAUUGGGUUUAAAGGGUGCGUAGGCGGGUGGAUAAGUUAGAGGUGAAAUCCCGAGGCUCAACCUCGGAACUGCAUUUGAUACUGUUCGGCUAGAGUGUAGUUGCGGUAGGCGGAAUGUAUGGUGUAGCGGUGAAAUGCUUAGAGAUCAUACAGAACACUGAUGGCGAAGGCAGCUUACCAAGCUACUUCUGACGUUGAGGCACGAAAGCGUGGGGAGCAAACAGGAUUAGAUACCCGGGUAGUC